rnacentral:tRNA from 1 species
UCUCUGGUGGUCUAGUGGCUAAGACUUGGUGCUUGCAAUGCAGGGGACCCAGGUUCGAUCCCUGGUCAGGGAA